GCCGGGCAUGGUGGCGCAUGCCUGUAAUCCCAGCUACUCAGGAGGCUGAGGCAGGAGAAUCACUUGAACCCGGGAGAUGGAGGUUGCAGUGAGCCGAGAUCGCACCACUACACUCCAGUCUGGGCAACAGAGUGAGAUUCUGUCUCAA
rnacentral:SRP_RNA from 1 species